rnacentral:rRNA from 1 species
UUUUUUAAUUGGAAACUGGAAUGAAGGGUUGGACGAAAUAUAAACUUUAUUGGUUAAUUGUUAUGAAUUUUAUUUUUUAGUUAAAAAGCUUAAAUUUAUAUAUUAGACGAGAAGACCCUAUAGAGUUUUAUAUUAAAAAUUUUUAGUAAUUAUUAUAAUAAUAUUUUUUUAAAAGUUUAAAAUAUUUUAUUGGGGUGAUAAGAAAAUUUUUUUAACUUUUUUUAUUAAUAUCAUAAAUUUAUGAUUUAUUGAUCCUUUUUUUUUGAUUAUAAAAAUAAAUUACCUUAGGGAUAACAGCAUAAUUUUUUUUCAAAGUUCUUAUUAAAAAAAAAGAUUAU